AACGCUUCUUUCCUCCCGAGUGCUUGCACUCAAUUGGAAAGAGGAGUGGCGGACGGGUGAGUAACACGUGGGUAACCUACCCAUCAGAGGGGGAUAACACUUGGAAACAGGUGCUAAUACCGCAUAACAGUUUAUGCCGCAUGGCAUAAGAGUGAAAGGUGCUUUCGGGUGUCGCUGAUGGAUGGACCCGCGGUGCAUUAGCUAGUUGGUGAGGUAACGGCUCACCAAGGCCACGAUGCAUAGCCGACCUGAGAGGGUGAUCGGCCACACUGGGACUGAGACACGGCCCAGACUCCUACGGGAGGCAGCAGUAGGGAAUCUUCGGCAAUGGACGAAAGUCUGACCGAGCAACGCCGCGUGAGUGAAGAAGGUUUUCGGAUCGUAAAACUCUGUUGUUAGAGAAGAACAAGGACGUUAGUAACUGAACGUCCCCUGACGGUAUCUAACCAGAAAGCCACGGCUAACUACGUGCCAGCAGCCGCGGUAAUACGUAGGUGGCAAGCGUUGUCCGGAUUUAUUGGGCGUAAAGCGAGCGCAGGCGGUUUCUUAAGUCUGAUGUGAAAGCCCCCGGCUCAACCGGGGAGGGUCAUUGGAAACUGGGAGACUUGAGUGCAGAAGAGGAGAGUGGAAUUCCAUGUGUAGCGGUGAAAUGCGUAGAUAUAUGGAGGAACACCAGUGGCGAAGGCGGCUCUCUGGUCUGUAACUGACGCUGAGGCUCGAAAGCGUGGGGAGCAAACAGGAUUAGAU
rnacentral:rRNA from 1 species